rnacentral:rRNA from 1 species
GACGAACGCUGGCGGCGUGCUUAACACAUGCAAGUCGAACGGAAAGGCCCUGCUUUUGUGGGGUGCUCGAGUGGCGAACGGGUGAGUAACACGUGAGUAACCUGCCCUUGACUUUGGGAUAACUUCAGGAAACUGGGGCUAAUACCGGAUAGGAGCUCCUGCUGCAUGGUGGGGGUUGGAAAGUUUCGGCGGUUGGGGAUGGACUCGCGGCUUAUCAGCUUGUUGGUGGGGUAGUGGCUUACCAAGGCUUUGACGGGUAGCCGGCCUGAGAGGGUGGCCGGCAGCAUUGGGAAUGAGAUACGGCGCAGAGUCCUACGGGAGGAAGCAGGGGGGAAUAUUGACGAAGGGGCGGGAGCCGGAUGCAGCGGCGCCGGGUGCGGGAUGACGGCCUUAGGGAUGGAAACAAGAUUCGCCUGUGACGAAGCGUGAGUGACGGGAAUGGGUAAAGAAGCACCGGCUAACUACGUG